rnacentral:lncRNA from 1 species
GCAGCUGUACCCUCACUUUCAGGUGGGACUCCAGUCAAUCGUGCAGAUCGACGAGUUCCUCUCAUCUUAACUUUCUAGAAAACAACACAUAACAGCAUACAUCAGCAUAUAAACAUCACAUAUCAACAAUGCACAUGCAUACAUCAUGGCAUUUCACAUCAUCAAAUAGACAGGACUCAACAUCCUAUCCUAGUAGACAUGAUUUCCUAUUGUGCUUGACCUACUAUAACCUCUAUGAGCCCGACGCUCUCUCUA